rnacentral:rRNA from 1 species
GCAGCAGUGGGGAAUUUUCCGCAAUGGACGAAAGUCUGACGGAGCGACGCUGCGUGAAGGAUGAAGGCCCGUGGGUUGUAAACUUCUUUUCUCGAAGAAGAAAAAAAUGACGGUAUUCGAGGAAUAAGCAUCGGCUAACUCUGUGCCAGCAGCCGCGGUAAGACAGAGGAUGCAAGUGUUAUUCGGAAUGAUUGGGCGUAAAGAGUCUGUAGGCGGUUUAGAAAGUCUUUUGUGAAAUACUUCAGCUCAACUGAGGCUCCGCAAAAGAAACUUCUAGACUUGAGGAAAGUAGAGGUACAGGGAAUUUCCGGUGGAGCGGUGAAAUGCGUAGAUAUCGGAAGGAACACCAAUAUGGCGAAGGCACUGUACUGGGCUUUUCCUGACGCUCAGAGACGAAAGCUGAAGGAGUGAUUAGGAUUAGAUACCCUAGUAAUUUCAGCCGUAAACGAUGAAAACUCACUGUCGAGCCAAUAUAUGGAGCGGUGGUCAAGCUAACGCGUGAAGUUUUCCGCCUGGGGAUUACGCUUGCAAAAGUGAAACUCAAAGGAAUUGACGGGGACCCGCACAAGCGGUGGAGUAUGUGGUUUAAUUCGAUGCAACGCGAAAAACCUUACCAGGGUUUGAAAUAAUUUCAAAACUUCUUGAAAGAGAAGCCUCCUUCGGGAUGGAAUUACAGGUGGUGCAUGGCUGUCGUCAGCUCGUGUUGUGAAAUGUCAAGUUAAGUCUUGUAACGAGCGCAACCCAUGUCUCUUGUUGCUGUUUACAGUGCUUAAGAGAAACUGCCGAUCAACAUCGGAGGAAGGUGUGGAUGAUGUCAAGUCAGCAUGCCCCUUACAUCCUGGGCUACACACGUACUACAAUGGUCGAGACAAAGGGUCGCUAACCUGCAAAGGCAUGCCAAUCUCAUAAACUCGAUCUCAGUUCGGAUUGUACUCUGCAACUCGAGUACAUGAAGGUGG